AGAUGAACUGCUGGCGGUAUGCUUAACACAUGCAAGUCGAACGAAAUCUUUCGGGAUUUAGUGGCGGACGGGUGAGUAACGCGUGAGAAUCUGCCUUCAGGUCUGGGACAACCACUGGAAACGGUGGCUAAUACCGGAUGUGCCGAGAGGUGAAAGGUUAACUGCCUGAAGAUGAGCUCGCGUCUGAUUAGCUAGUAGGUGUGGUAAAAGCGCACCUAGGCGACGAUCAGUAGCUGGUCUGAGAGGACGAUCAGCCACACUGGGACUGAGACACGGCCCAGACUCCUACGGGAGGCAGCAGUGGGGAAUUUUCCGCAAUGGGCGAAAGCCUGACGGAGCAAUACCGCGUGAGGGAGGAAGGCUCUUGGGUCGUAACCUCUUUUCUCAGGGAAGAACACAAUGACGGUACCUGAGGAAUAAGCAUCGGCUAACUCCGUGCCAGCAGCCGCGGUAAUACGGAGGAUGCAAGCGUUAUCCGGAAUGAUUGGGCGUAAAGCGUCCGCAGGUGGCUAUGUAAGUCUGCUGUUAAAGAGUCUAGCUCAACUAGAUAAGAGCAGUGGAAACUACAUGGCUAGAGUGCGUUCGGGGCAGAGGGAAUUCCUGGUGUAGCGGUGAAAUGCGUAGAGAUCAGGAAGAACACCGGUGGCGAAGGCGCUCUGCUAGGCCGCAACUGACACUGAGG
rnacentral:rRNA from 1 species